CUUCAGAAUGCUUAGUUUGAUGGAUCAGAGAAGAAAAUGCGUCUUUUAAUCUGCUAAGCAGAAUACCGAUUUGAUUAAUUGCAGGGAUAAUACUUAAAGAACGAUGGUCACAUCGGUAAAGUCAUCGUCAAGGCACAAUAGCAAGAAAGUAAUUGGAAUUUAUAAUCUAUUCUAACGAGGAUCGUUUCAAGCCAUCAAUUUUUGCUUUCUGAUUCUAAUUGCUACUUUAACGGAAGUAGCACCAACAUGUAUCUGCUUUUCCAGUUAAAAGACACUGACGUCUAAUGAUAAUAAAAUAAUACGUACCUACCGGGUGUAUUUUAAAAAAGGAAAUAUUUUAUUAAUGUCAUACAAAAUAACGUGCAGCUCUUCUUACAAGGUAGAUACAUAAAUUUAAAAAAAAAAACGUAAAAAAAAAUUGUUUCCCGAGAAAAAUAUAAAAUUUGCAUCGACCUAAGGCAAAUAAUAUAGAAAGCAAUUUAACAUCGAUGAUUAUUCGAAUUCAAUGAUAACAUUCCAUUCGAUAAAACACACGAAGCUAAGGGUAACGUGUCAAGGAAAAUGAAAAAAAAAUUUCUUUUCAAAAAUCCUCAUUUCCUUCAUCGUCGCACUUCGUCUGAUCGCUUUGCUUUUUAUUCGAACAAUCCUUUACAACGAGCCAGGCAAGUUACCAAGUGCCUUGAAAAUCGCGCAGAACGUCGAACGCUGUUCACAGCGAAAUAAUGUUCGAGUUUAUUAGCCGGUUGUAUUCCUUGUUCGGUUAAACUUGCGCAGAAUGAAUGGUCUUUUUCGUUGUAAUUAACUUGCACCAUUAACUUUCACACAAAGGUGCCUGAAGCUACCUUAACAGGUGUUUAAAAAAGCGUGUAAAAGUGAAUGAACCGUGGAAAAAAAUCCGUGUAAAAGUGAAAAAAAGCACCGUGUAAAAUGCGCCCCAGGUAUAUUUUAAUAAUAUUCUCGCAACGUUACAAAUUGAUCAUGGCGUUCAAUUAUUUAUGUGACACACGGUGAAUAAAAAUGGUAUUUAUUUGCUAAUGAUAUACUUAUAUCGCGUUAUAUCUUGAUACGCAAGAGAAAGAGCGAAGGAAAUUAUAAUUUGUCGUAAAAAAAACAGACGAUGACAAAAUAAAUUAUCGUUUUCUAAUUAAUUAUACCGAGUGUGUCGAUAGAGAAGAAACAAAAAAAAAAAGAAAAAAAAACUGAAGGAAAUCGUAAUUUAUUGCGAGGAAAAAUACGAUGACAAAGCUAAGUAUCAUUUUCUAAUUAGUUAGACAGCGUGUCUGGUUAGAGCUAAGAAAGAAGGAAAGAGAAGUAUAAUUUCUCCAUGUUGAAAGCAUAUGCACGUGCAUACACCUAAUUAGCCAGGUGGAUAAGUGGACGAUCGCUGGCAGCACGGCAAAGUUAACCGAGUUAAUCGGCAACCAAUCGAAUGUAUGUCACUGUGACAGGCGUUUAUUUUCCUCUUUUAUUUCUCUCUUUCUUUUUUAGUCGGCGCGCUGCGGUGAAUAGCAAAUAACAUGCAUCGAGUCGGCUGCAUGCGAACUUCCGUUCCACUGGCGGCCUCUUACGGCAAUUUACACGGUUGCGGUUUCACGUUAAAGGAGAGUCGCCGAUAAUUCGUGUACGCGGCACGAAUUAAUUUCAUAUUCGCAGAAUUACUUACGACGUUCACGCGGGAAACAUGAAUUCCAGGAUUAAAGCACGCGUUGCAUCCUUCCUUACGAUUAUGUGUUUUAACGAGUGGGUUGCACGUUACACGCCACUCACGCCAGCAUGAAAGAACAAAGGAAUGCUGGUCCGAAACUAAUGAAAGAGGAAGAUGGCCGGUUAACUGUGUUCCGAGGGUUGCCAGCCUCUUGUUCAAUCGAAUAUGAAAUCUACGUGCAAGUAGUUUUGUAUCCGUAUAGCUAGAGGCUGCCACUGUCGUGUACAAUAUACAAGAUGUCUAAAGCGUGAGCACAUUAGUUUGGAAGGAAUUGAGAAAGUUUACAGUGAAACAUUUAACCGAGCUUUAUUUUUCUUCCUUUUAUUAGGCAAUUUUAAUUUCCAUAAGGAAAUAUAAUGUAAUAUUCUUUGUAGGAUAUGCUACCAUAGUUCAUGUACAAUAUACAGAAUGAGAACAUGUAAGGAUAAGAAGAAUUGAGAAGGUUUAUGGAUAUGCUACCAUAGUUCAUGUACAAUACACAGAAUAAGAGCAUGUAAGGUUAAGAAGAAUUGAGAAGGUUUACGGAUAUGCUACCAUAGUUCAUGUACAAUAUACAGAAUGAGAGCAUGUAAGGUUAAGAAGAAUUGAGAAGGUUUACAGUAGAACAUUUAAUCAAACUUUAUUUUUUAUUAGACAAUUUUUCUUUCUAUAAGGAAGUACAAUAUAAUAUUCUUUACAUAAUACACUACCAUAGUUCAUGUAUAAUAUACAGGAUGUCAAAAAAGUGAGAACAUAAGUUUGAAAAGAAUUGAAAUGUAAUAUAAUAUUCUUUGUAUGAUACGCUACCAUAGUUCAUGUACAAUAUACAAGAUGUCAGGAACGUGAGCACAUUAGUUUAGAAAGAAUUGAAAACGUUUACAGUGAAAAAUAUAAACAAACUUUAUUUUUUAUUAGAUAACUUUUCUUUUAUUAUGCAAUUCUCAUUUCCAUAAGGAAGUGCAGUCUAAUAUUCUUUGUAGCAUAUAUUUACAUAUACUGACUACCCUAUACUGUAUAUACUGACAUAUAAUUCAUGUAUGAUAUACAGGAUGUCAAAGAAGUGAGCACAUGAGUUUAAAAAGAAUUGAGAAUGUUUACAGUGGAUUUAGCCAAGCUUUAAUUUUCUUUCUUUUGUUAGGCAAUUCUAAUUUCCAUAAAGAAAUACAAUACAAUAUUCUUUACAUGAUAUGCUACCAUAGUUCAAUUACAAUAUACAGGAUGUCAAAAAAACAUUUUUCAUUUCCAUAAGGAAAUACGAUGUAAUAUUAUUUACAUAAUAUUACGCUAAUUUUAUAAUUAGACUUAGAGCGAAGUUUGCCGCAUCGUCUGAAUCUGCACAGGACGAUCCACACAACUGUUUCGUGUUCUAACUCCGUUACCAGUGCAGUUACAGAAAAAUAUUCAAGGAAGAUGAAUCAUUCAAAGAGUACUACAUCCAUUCGAAACAUUCAAACUAUUAAAAUCCGCCUUAAUUGCGAGUAUCAAACGGCAUCCGACGUCCAUUGUUUUCCACUGCCAGUUUAAAAAAUUCGUGUCCAACGCUCUCGUUACUAUGUUUGUGAAACUUACGAUACAAUUGGUUCAUACAAUUGGACAAGCAAACUACAUUUCUUCCUUUGCAUUACAAUUCAUUUUAUCGUUCAACCGCAAUAUUCAACUGUAACAUUUCUUCGCGUUCAACGUCGAUAUCAACAAUGAACGACGUCAUACGAUAACGUAACGUUUCGAUAAGAUUGUUAACGUUGAAAAUUGAUAAAAAUCAAGAUGAAAGAAAUUGUUGAAUUUGAACGUUUUCUUGUCUUGAACGAUCGGGCCAUUUGUGAAACGAAGGAAGAAAACAGCAGAGGACGAGGAAGAGGUUGCAAGGAGAAGCAACGAGCAUGUGCAAUUGUCCAAUCGUGUACAAUGAUCGAGAGGAUCGUAAAAUUUUGUUACGACAGAGGUGUCACAGAGGAAAUCUGUUGAAGCCAGGCAACGUUAAAGUUGAGAAGCUGAAAGUUAAAUUAGCAUAUUGCGCAACCUAAUACUAGCGUUUGGUGUAUUUCUGUCGAUAGAAGAGGACGACAAAACGGCGCCAGCUUUGUAGUUACGCGAGUUCCUUUUAGGCGAUAUUUUGGCAUAGAUUUGCCGACACUCGAGGGAGGAUGCCAACGUGUAGAUGGCCUUGAGCAAGAUCCGUAUACCCUGGUUGGAAUAAUGGAAUGCUAAAUAUGCGAAUGUAGCUACGGUAUGAGCUACAGUAAGACGCAUGAUACAUGUUUCUUGUUAUAGCAUAGAGUAUGACUGUUAUUUAUCACGUCAAGUUGCGCCGGAAGUUUCUUUCGUUUUUGUAAGGAAGUAAUAGAUGCGCGAUAUUUUUUGUUUUAUAUUAAUAAUUAUAUUAUAUUAUAUAUAUAUAUUGCUUUAGAACAAAAUGGAUCAUAUGAUUCAUAUAAUUCAAUGAUUCGAUAAAAUAAUAGAAAAUGUUGACGGUCAUCACUUUUUAAAGAAAACUCUACAUCUGGUCUUUUUAGCCUUCUCGUUUUUAGUAAUAAAUUAAUUUGAAUAGAAAAGAGAAAGCUGGCUGGCAAAUGUCUUUGUGAAUGCAAUGACGAAGUCAAGGUCCAGAUGUUUAUGACAAGAGUCGGAAAAUAUUGGAAGAUAAUUGUUUGUAAGGAUGUAGA